GUCAAAGAAGAUUGUGAAGGAAGAAGAUCAUGAAGAAGGGGACCAAGAAGUUCAAGAGGUCUCUCAAAGUGAUCAAAAGAUCUCCGUCAAGAACCUACUGUGCUGAGAUUGCUCAUGAUAUUUCAACAAAGAAAAGGAAAGAGAUUGUUGAGAGGGAAGCUCGACUUGAUGUUGUAGUUGCCGACAAGCUGGCUAGGUUGCGUAGCCAAAGAAGAUGAAACAUGAAAGGACCGCAUGAAUUGUAUAGGUUGUGGACUAUUUGUCUGUUAUCGCUUAAAGGCAAUACCACAUCUCGUUCUCAUACAUAUCUUGCACGUUUUAAACUUUUACUAUGUGUUUCAAAAUCAAAUUUCUAUCUCUCUUAAAUCAUUUGGAGUGCUUUUAUGCAUGUUUAUGAAGCAUUUUAAGUAUA